AAAGAGCAUCCGGUAUCCUUCCUCUGUGGUCGUCAGGAUGUUGACAGCCGUCACCUGCCAGUUCUUCUCUGCAGCUGUAUCCAAGACUCUCUGCAGGACUGACAGGCCUGUAGCGGAGGGGCGGACAGAGACAUGGCAGCGUCAGCCUUCGCAGGACUUGUGAGGCUGUCUACACCCACUCUCCCCGCGCACUCACUACUGUUUGCAUCUACUUCCCUGGGUGGUCACUGCUGCCUGCCGCCCUAUAUUCCUGUAGCAAGCUCAGUUCCUGCUGUGUGUCUGAAGGCUGCAGAGCAAUCAAGCCCAGCUUCCUGCACCUGCAGCCAUGUCUUCUCCACCAUGAUGGACUGACUAUCUGACCCUCCAGAACCGGGAACCAGAAUAAACCCUUUCUUCCUGAAGAUGCUUUGUCAGGGCAUUUCACCACAGCAGCAGGAAAGGAACCAAUACAGGGAAAUUGAGUCAUUGUUUAUA